rnacentral:rRNA from 2 species
AAAUCUGGCCCCUAGGGUCCGAGUUGUAAUUUGUAGAGGAUGCUUUUGGUGAGGUGCCGCCCGAGUUCCCUGGAACGGGACGCCACAGAGGGUGAGAGCCCCGUCUGGCUGGCCGCCGAGCCUCUGUAAAGCUCCUUCGACGAGUCGAGUAGUUUGGGAAUGCUGCUCAAAAUGGGAGGUAUAUGUCUUCUAAAGCUAAAUAUUGGCCAGAGACCGAUAGCGCACAAGUAGAGUGAUCGAAAGAUGAAAAGCACCUUGAAAAGAGGGUUAAAUAGUACGUGAAAUUGUUGAAAGGGAAGCGCUUGUGACCAGACUUGGGCGCGGCGGAUCAUCCGGGGUUCUCUCCGGUGCACUUCGCCGCGUCUAGGCCAGCAUCAGUUCGUCGCGGGGGAAAAAGGCUUCGGGAACGUGGCUCCUCCGGGAGUGUUAUAGCCCGUUGCAUAAUACCCUGCGGUGGACUGAGGACCGCGCAUCUGCAAGGAUGCUGGCGUAAUGGUCACCAGCGACCCGUCUUGAAACACGGACCAAGGAG